CGUCAGGAUGGCCGAGUGGUCUAAGGCGCCAGACUCAAGUUCUGGUCUCCGAGGAGGGGGCGUGGGUUCAAAUCCCACUUCUGACAUUC
rnacentral:tRNA from 1 species